rnacentral:rRNA from 1 species
UACGUAGGGUGCAAGCGUUAAUCGGAAUUACUGGGCGUAAAGCGUGCGCAGGCGGUGAUGUAAGACAGGUGUGAAAUCCCCGGGCUUAACCUGGGAACUGCAUUUGUGACUGCAUCGCUGGAGUGCGGCAGAGGGGGAUGGAAUUCCGCGUGUAGCAGUGAAAUGCGUAGAUAUCUGGAGGAACACCGGUGGCGAAGGCGGCAUCCUGGACCGACACUGACGCUGAUGAGCGAAAGCCAGGGGAGCAAACGGG